rnacentral:rRNA from 1 species
AGAGUUUGAUCCUGGCUCAGCAUGAACGCUGGCGGCGUGCUUAACACAUGCAAGUCGAACGAAGCACUUUAACUUGAUUUCUUCGGAAUGAUUGUUCUUGUGACUGAGUGGCGGACGGGUGAGUAACGCGUGGGUAACCUGCCUCAUACAGGGGGAUAACAGUUAGAAAUGACUGCUAAUACCGCAUAAGCGCACAGUACCGCAUGGUAUGGUGUGAAAAACUCCGGUGGUAUGAGAUGGACCCGCGUCUGAUUAGCUAGUUGGUGAGGUAACGGCCCACCAAGGCGACGAUCAGUAGCCGACCUGAGAGGGUGACCGGCCACAUUGGGACUGAGACACGGCCCAAACUCCUACGGGAGGCAGCAGUGGGGAAUAUUGCACAAUGGGCGAAAGCCUGAUGCAGCGACGCCGCGUGAAUGAAGAAGUAUUUCGGUAUGUAAAGUUCUAUCAGCAGGGAAGAUAAUGACGGUACCUGACUAAGAAGCACCGGCUAAAUACGUGCCAGCAGCCGCGGUAAUACGUAUGGUGCAAGCGUUAUCCGGAUUUACUGGGUGUAAAGGGAGCGCAGGCGGUACGGCAAGUCUGAUGUGAAAGCCCGGGGCUCAACCCCGGUACUGCAUUGGAAACUGUCGAACUAGAGUGUCGGAGGGGUAAGCGGAAUUCCUAGUGUACGCGGUGAAAUGCGUAGAUAUUAGGAGGAACACCAGUGGCGAAGGCGGCUUACUGGACGAUAACUGACGCUGAGGCUCGAAAGCGUGGGGAGCACACAGGAUUAGAUACCCUGGUAGUCCACGCUGUAAACGAUGAAUACUAGGUGUCGGGACCCACAGGGUUUCGGUGCCGCAGCAAACGCAAUAAGUAUUCCACCUGGGGAGUACGUUCGCAAGAAUGAAACUCAAAGGAAUUGACGGGGACCCGCACAAGCGGUGGAGCAUGUGGUUUAAUUCGAAGCAACGCGAAGAACCUUACCAAGUCUUGACAUCCCGAUGACCGGUGUUUAACCGCACCUUCUCUUCGGAGCAUCGGAGACAGGUGGUGCAUGGUUGUCGUCAGCUCGUGUCGUGAGAUGUUGGGUUAAGUCCCGCAACGAGCGCAACCCCUGUCCUUAGUAGCUAGCAGUACGGCUGAGCACUCUAGGGAGACUGCCAGGGAUAACCUGGAGGAAGGCAGGGGAUGACGUCAAAUCAUCAUGCCCCUUAUGACUUGGGCUACACACGUGAUACAAUGGCGUAAACAAAGGGAAGCAAACCUGUGAGGGUAAGCAAAUCUCAAAAAUAACGUCUCAGUUCGGAUUGUAGUCUGCAACUCGACUACAUGAAGCUGGAAUCGCUAGUAAUCGCGAAUCAGAAUGUCGCGGUGAAUACGUUCACCGGGUCUUGUACACACCGCCCGUC